GACAGAGGGUGCAAACGUUGUUCGGAAUUACUGGGCGUAAAGCGUGUGUAGGCGGCCAAGCAAGUCGGAUGUGAAAGCCCAGGGCUCAACCCUGGAAGUGCACUCGAUACUGCUAGGCUCGAGUCUCGUAGAGGUUGGUGGAAUUCUUGGUGUAGAGGUGAAAUUCGUAGAUAUCAAGAGGAACACCGGUGGCGAAGGCGGCCAACUGGACGAAGACUGACGCUCAGACACGAAAGCAUGGGGAGCAAACAGG
rnacentral:rRNA from 1 species